rnacentral:rRNA from 1 species
UGUGUGUUAGUGGAAGCGUCUGGAAAGGCGCGCGAUACAGGGUGACAGCCCCGUACACAAAAAUGCACAUGCUGUGAGCUCGAUGAGUAGGGCGGGACACGUGGUAUCCUGUCUGAAUAUGGGGGGACCAUCCUCCAAGGCUAAAUACUCCUGACUGACCGAUAGUGAACCAGUACCGUGAGGGAAAGGCGAAAAGAACCCCGGCGAGGGGAGUGAAAAAGAACCUGAAACCGUGUACGUACAAGCAGUGGGAGCACAGAGCAAUCUGUGUGACUGCGUACCUUUUGUAUAAUGGGUCAGCGACUUAUAUUCUGUAGCAAGGUUAACCGAAUAGGGGAGCCGAAGGGAAACCGAGUCUUAACUGGGCGUUAAGUUGCAGGGUAUAGACCCGAAACCCGGUGAUCUAGCCAUGGGCAGGUUGAAGGUUGGGUAACACUAACUGGAGGACCGAACCGACUAAUGUUGAAAAAUUAGCGGAUGACUUGUGGCUGGGGGUGAAAGGCCAAUCAAACCGGGAGAUAGCUGGUUCUCCCCGAAAGCUAUUUAGGUAGCGCCUCGUGAAUUCAUCUCCGGGGGUAGAGCACUGUUUCGGCAAGGGGGUCAUCCCGACUUACCAACCCGAUGCAAACUGCGAAUACCGGAGAAUGUUAUCACGGGAGACACACGGCGGGUGCUAACGUCCGUCGUGAAGAGGGAAACAACCCAGACCGCCAGCUAAGGUCCCAAAGUCAUGGUUAAGUGGGAAACGAUGUGGGAAGGCCCAGACAGCCAGGAUGUUGGCUUAGAAGCAGCCAUCAUUUAAAGAAAGCGUAAUAGCUCACUGGUCGAGUCGGCCUGCGCGGAAGAUGUAACGGGGCUAAACCAUGCACCGAAGCUGCGGCAGCGACACUGUGUGUUGUUGGGUAGGGGAGCGUUCUGUAAGCCUGUGAAGGUGUGCUGUGAGGCAUGCUGGAGGUAUCAGAAGUGCGAAUGCUGACAUAAGUAACGAUAAAGCGGGUGAAAAGCCCGCUCGCCGGAAGACCAAGGGUUCCUGUCCAACGUUAAUCGGGGCAGGGUGAGUCGACCCCUAAGGCGAGGCCGAAAGGCGUAGUCGAUGGGAAACAGGUUAAUAUUCCUGUACUUGGUGUUACUGCGAAGGGGGGACGGAGAAGGCUAUGUUGGCCGGGCGACGGUUGUCCCGGUUUAAGCGUGUAGGCUGGUUUUCCAGGCAAAUCCGGAAAAUCAAGGCUGAGGCGUGAUGACGAGGCACUACGGUGCUGAAGCAACAAAUGCCCUGCUUCCAGGAAAAGCCUCUAAGCAUCAGGUAACAUCAAAUCGUACCCCAAACCGACACAGGUGGUCAGGUAGAGAAUACCAAGGCGCUUGAGAGAACUCGGGUGAAGGAACUAGGCAAAAUGGUGCCGUAACUUCGGGAGAAGGCACGCUGAUAUGUAGGUGAAGUCCCUCGCGGAUGGAGCUGAAAUCAGUCGAAGAUACCAGCUGGCUGCAACUGUUUAUUAAAAACACAGCACUGUGCAAACACGAAAGUGGACGUAUACGGUGUGACGCCUGCCCGGUGCCGGAAGGUUAAUUGAUGGGGUCAGCGCAAGCGAAGCUCUUGAUCGAAGCCCCGGUAAACGGCGGCCGUAACUAUAACGGUCCUAAGGUAGCGAAAUUCCUUGUCGGGUAAGUUCCGACCUGCACGAAUGGCGUAAUGAUGGCCAGGCUGUCUCCACCCGAGACUCAGUGAAAUUGAACUCGCUGUGAAGAUGCAGUGUACCCGCGGCAAGACGGAAAGACCCCGUGAACCUUUACUAUAGCUUGACACUGAACAUUGAGCCUUGAUGUGUAGGAUAGGUGGGAGGCUUUGAAGUGUGGACGCCAGUCUGCAUGGAGCCGACCUUGAAAUACCACCCUUUAAUGUUUGAUGUUCUAACGUGGACCCGUGAUCCGGGUUGCGGACAGUGUCUGGUGGGUAGUUUGACUGGGGCGGUCUCCUCCUAAAGAGUAACGGAGGAGCACGAAGGUUGGCUAAUCCUGGUCGGACAUCAGGAGGUUAGUGCAAUGGCAUAAGCCAGCUUGACUGCGAGCGUGACGGCGCGAGCAGGUGCGAAAGCAGGUCAUAGUGAUCCGGUGGUUCUGAAUGGAAGGGCCAUCGCUCAACGGAUAAAAGGUACUCCGGGGAUAACAGGCUGAUACCGCCCAAGAGUUCAUAUCGACGGCGGUGUUUGGCACCUCGAUGUCGGCUCAUCACAUCCUGGGGCUGAAGUAGGUCCCAAGGGUAUGGCUGUUCGCCAUUUAAAGUGGUACGCGAGCUGGGUUUAGAACGUCGUGAGACAGUUCGGUCCCUAUCUGCCGUGGGCGCUGGAGAACUGAGGGGGGCUGCUCCUAGUACGAGAGGACCGGAGUGGACGCAUCACUGGUGUUCGGGUUGUCAUGCCAAUGGCACUGCCCGGUAGCUAAAUGCGGAAGAGAUAAGUGCUGAAAGCAUCUAAGCACGAAACUUGCCCCGAGAUGAGUUCUCCCUGACCCUUUAAGGGUCCUGAAGGAACGUUGAAGACGACGACGUUGAUAGGCCGGGUGUGUAAGCGCAGCGAUGCGUUGAGCUAACCGGUACUAAUGAACCGUGAGGCUUAACCUU